rnacentral:lncRNA from 1 species
AAAAUAAAUGAUUAGUGUUUAUUCAUUACACUGUAGACUUAAAGAUAAGUAUAAGAGCAUAAUCAAAGAGGAUUAACUCAUCUUAUCUCUUUUUUUUGAGGUGGGGACUAAAAAGAAGUAAUUGAAAACGAAAAGUAUAUUCAUGUUACAUGGAGGGAAAAAAUAAUUUAAUGACGAAAACAUGUUGUUUUGUCGAAAGAGGUGGCAAAAAAGGUAAUUGACCAAGCGGAAACCCUGAACCCGACC